rnacentral:rRNA from 1 species
AUUGAACGCUGGCGGCAGGCCUAACACAUGCAAGUCGAACGGUAACAGGAAGAAGCUUGCUUCUUUGCUGACGAGUGGCGGACGGGUGAGUAAUGUCUGGGAAACUGCCUGAUGGAGGGGGAUAACUACUGGAAACGGUAGCUAAUACCGCAUAACGUCGCAAGACCAAAGAGGGGGACCUUCGGGCCUCUUGCCAUCGGAUGUGCCCAGAUGGGAUUAGCUAGUAGGUGGGGUAACGGCUCACCUAGGCGACGAUCCCUAGCUGGUCUGAGAGGAUGACCAGCCACACUGGAACUGAGACACGGUCCAGACUCCUACGGGAGGCAGCAGUGGGGAAUAUUGCACAAUGGGCGCAAGCCUGAUGCAGCCCUGCCGCGUGUAUGAAGAAGGCCUUCGGGUUGUAAAGUACUUUCAGCGGGGAGGAAGGGAGUAAAGUUAAUACCUUUGCUCAUUGACGUUACCCGCAGAAGAAGCACCGGCUAACUCCGUG